UUCUUAAUUUACUUUAACUGUUAAUCUCUUGAAAGAUUUAUGUAGGUGCUAGUAGAAGCAUCAGCUGAAUAACCUAUUGUUAGCAGGAGGAGAAGCAAAACUGCAGAUGUCAGAUGCCACGGCACAUCUCUGUGGUCUGUAUGGGGUUCAUUACAAAAACCUGAUGAUGCUAAUGAUGUAAGUCUUACUGGAACCUUUUAGAGCUUUUAGCUCUCAAUAAAAACUUCACCUGUUUUAGAGGCUAAAUUUUAGAGGAUAAUUUUACUGACAGGCCUAGGAUGUAGAAACAUGGAGAAAUGAAGGCUGAAAUAGGAACAGGUUCUGUGAAUCGACAUUGAACGUGUCUGUGGAGGUCUCAGGACUGGAACAUCCAACGGAGUGGACAGAUGGACAGACUCGGGGAAGAAAAUGGAGAAUUCAGCCAGCGUGUUUACCCAAGCUAUUACGCUGGCUUAACCGUUCCAUGAUGAAGUUCCAUUUCAGCACUGAGCUCUCCAGGCUGCGGAGAUAAAAAUGAUCAAUUGGAAUUGGUUUUGUCCUCCUGUUUUCACAUUCAGGUUUCACAGCACUGGAUCGGUGGCUGCCACCGUUUCUUCCUGAAAAACAGGCUGACCCUGAACCUUUCCCUGGACGUGGGCAGCUGCUCCAGCUAUCCAUAAACCCAAGGUUUUUUCCACUGUUGAGAAAUGUCGCAGUGGCUCGGCGUUACGACCGUGUCUCAGAAUGGGAAGGCAGAGUUAACUAAAUUUAAAGCAUUUGCUCCAUCACAGAGCAAUCCUGCCUGGUGCUCCUGCUUUCCAGAGGGUGUCCAACCCCGUCCUCUGCAGAGCUUGCCUUGGGCUGAUCCAGCUGAUGGCUUACGUUGGGGGGACGUGCAAGGCUGAUGUUGCGCAGGCAAUUAAAAUCUAUGAAUUAGAUUAAAACCCAAAUGUUAGCUUGCUCUGAUGCGAUUCUUUUUUUGUUUUCUUUUGGUUGAGAUGCUCUUUGGAGAUAAAAGCUAGAAUCAGACUGCUGAUCUGCAGCUGCUUGGGGCUUAGCUUUGAGGUUUCUGUAUUUUGCUGCUCUUACCUCUUGACCUGCUUGAUUCAUUUUGUGUCUGAAGUUCUGUCCUUUUUAUUCCUGACUUUCCUGUUUAUAAUACACACAUCUGUACUGUUUGAUAGCUGUGAAAUAACUGUGCUUCAUUUCUUGCUUUGAGACUUUAUUUUUAUUUUUUUUUUAUUUAGAGCUGAGCUUGACAAAGAAGGACGAGGCCAGGAGCGGUUACAAAGGGGCAUGGUAUUUUUACUGUAAUACCAGGGUAUCGAUUGUUGACUUAUUGGUAGGCUUAAUGCACAGCCAUUUCCUUCGUGUCUGAAUGUCCAUUAAAACGCUGGCGUGGUGCCAGAGCGUUGAAAUCCUGCAUUUUAUGAUAUAAUCUGGCUCUCCAAAAGUACUAAUGUGGUUUG